GGGCGGUUGGCGCAGUGGUAGCGCAGUAGAUUUACACUCUAUUGGUCGGGGGUUCGAAUCCCUCAUCGCCCA
rnacentral:tRNA from 1 species